rnacentral:rRNA from 1 species
CCUGGCGGCCAUAGCGCGUUGGUACCACCCGAUCCCAUACCGAACUCGGAAGUGAAACGACGUAGCGCCGAUAGUAGUGCGGGUUUACCCGUGCGAGCGUAGGUCACCGCCAGGG